rnacentral:lncRNA from 1 species
UUUUUCAUUCUCAAAUUUUUCCAACCCUAAUACCCACCGCCGCACAUCCCUUUUUCCCCUUUUAGAAUUUUCUCUUUUGCUCUGCCUCCCGCCUCCGCCAGUGGCCAGUCCGCCGUGAAACCGGCAACGAUCUCUCCAUCUCCAGCUCUAAAGAAGCCCAGCUCCAGAGAAGCCCGUUGCCUGCCUCCAGUUCCAGCUCUUCCAGUUCCAGUCUCACUCUCUUCUCUUUUGCUCUGCCUCCGCCAGUCCACCGUGAAACCAAAGAGCUCUCUCCAUCUCUGACGCCUGACGGUUGCAGCUCCAGAGAAGCCUAACUCUUCCAAGCUUCUAGCAGCCCAGCUUUCUUUCUCACAGUCACAAGUAUUUUUUAAACAUUUUUGAAUACUGUAAGAGUUUGUAAAAAACAUGGUGAGAUGAAGGCCGGAAUUCUGGUAUUUUGUCUUUGUCAAAGACCGUGAAUUUAAGGACCGUGAAUGUGAGUAGCAGUUUGUUAUUUGUGUCUACUAAAUUGAGCUAAAUAUUGAAACUUCAGUGAUGGGUUUUGAUUCUCCUUCUGAAUUGUGAAAUUCCUGGGAACAAAUGGACGAAUUGAGGGAAAAUGUCACGGUUGAUCGGUUCUGAUGUUAAGGCACAAUAAAUGUUGAGUGAUUUUUCUCUCUUCUGUUCAUAUUGUAUGUUAUUAAAUUCAGCAGAACAUAUUCCCCAUUUAAUUACUCCAUUUGAAUGUCCUCCCCUUUUUCUCACCUCUAGUGUAUUUUAUGAACUUUGUCUUUGUCUAAGCACUAGAUCUUGACUUUGAUAUUGUCGUCUAGCUAGGUUGCCUAAAGGUUAAAGGAGCAUAAUGCAUUAUACAUAAGACAUACAGCCUUCAUUGAACAAUAUUGCGUGGUAACUAAUUUAGAUUAGCUUCCCUCUUUCCUGUCCUCUCAAUAUGGAAAUGUGUUAUUAUAAGAUGUAAUUUGCUCCUUGAAGAUGGACUUGAAAUUUAGCAUAAUGGUAUCAGGAGAUGUUAAGGAGCCUAACCGAGUCAGUUAUGGUAUGAUCCUCUUGGAAAAAAAAAUAACAAUUUUCUAUAGCAACACUUGCUCAACUAAUAAGUUGUGGUUGAUUGACUAGCGGUAUCAAGAGUGACUGCUGAGAGAUCUCAUGGACAGGCUUCAUCUGAUGAACUCCAAGGAAUUGUUAUGACAAGUUUGUUUGGUUGAGUUACUCUAGUAAGACUAAUCUACUUUCUUUCUCUUUGUUUUCUUAGAGUUAUUUGGAGAAGAUUUGGGUGAUUCUUCUAAAGUUCUCAAGUUAGGGUGAUGUAUUUGAAUAAGGCCAAUUUGAUUUCUUUUCUUAUCUGAUUUUUUGUUGUUUUACUUAGUAAUUAGUUUACAAAUAUAUUGUAUCCUUGUUUUGUUGCAGAAGAUUGUGAAACUUGAGAGCCAUGAAGACUAUUG